rnacentral:pre_miRNA from 7 species
AUCUAGGACCCCUGGGUGGUCGCGCAAAUCCCGGACGAGCCCCCAAAUGAAAGACCCCCCCCCCUGAAGGGAGACCCUCACUCAAGUCUCGGGAUUAGCACACACCCAGCAAGACACUGAGACCA